rnacentral:rRNA from 1 species
AAUCCUGGUGGCGAGUGGCGAACGGGUGAGUAAUACAUCGGAACGUGUCCUGUAGUGGGGGAUAGCCCGGCGAAAGCCGGAUUAAUACCGCAUACGCUCUGCGGAGGAAAGCGGGGGAUCCUUCGGGACCUCGCGCUACAGGGGCGGCCGAUGGCAGAUUAGCUAGUUGGUGGGGUAAAGGCCUACCAAGGCGACGAUCUGUAGCUGGUCUGAGAGGACGACCAGCCACACUGGGACUGAGACACGGCCCAGACUCCUACGGGAGGCAGCAGUGGGGAAUUUUGGACAAUGGGCGCAAGCCUGAUCCAGCAAUGCCGCGUGUGUGAAGAAGGCCUUCGGGUUGUAAAGCACUUUUGUCCGGAAAGAAAACCGCCUGGCUAAUAUCCGGGCGGGAUGACGGUACCGGAAGAAUAAGCACCGGCUAACUACGUGCCAGCAGCCGCGGUAAUACGUAGGGUGCAAGCGUUAAUCGGAAUUACUGGGCGUAAAGCGUGCGCAGGCGGUUCGCUAAGACAGAUGUGAAAUCCCCGGGCUUAACCUGGGAACUGCAUUUGUGACUGGCGGGCUAGAGUAUGGCAGAGGGGGGUAGAAUUCCACGUGUAGCAGUGAAAUGCGUAGAGAUGUGGAGGAAUACCGAUGGCGAAGGCAGCCCCCUGGGCCAAUACUGACGCUCAUGCACGAAAGCGUGGGGAGCAAACAGGAUUAGAUACCCUGGUAGUCCACGCCCUAAACGAUGUCAACUGGUUGUCGGGCCUUCAUUGGCUUGGUAACGUAGCUAACGCGUGAAGUUGACCGCCUGGGGAGUACGGUCGCAAGAUUAAAACUCAAAGGAAUUGACGGGGACCCGCACAAGCGGUGGAUGAUGUGGAUUAAUUCGAUGCAACGCGAAAAACCUUACCUACCCUUGACAUGUACGGAAGUCCGCUGAGAGGUGGAUGUGCCCGAAAGGGAGCCGU